GGUAGUCCUGAGUAGUGGAUAUAUCACAUCUAAUUCUCUUGAAACUCGGCCAAAGAUCAGCCUACAAAAGACCAGCCAAGAUAUUUGGAGUCUAUGAAUUCUAUUCACACAGAGAGGUUACCAUAGAAAUGAAAGAGAGAUCUCAUUUACACAUCUCGGCAGUGCAUCUUCUGACAGAUGUGGUUGACACGUUUGGUAGCAACAUUUCUGAAAGAUUUAUCUUCCAGAAAAAGGAAACGGAGCAUACUGCUAGAUAAAGAGCAGGUCUGUGCAACUUGUUGAAAUCUCGGAAGCCAAGCACAGCUCACAGUGCCGCAUCUGCGAGUCCACUGGGCCUUCCGGAGGCUAUGAAACAAAACAGAAGAAUAAACACCACAAGAGAGCUGUCAAACAAUGGACAGGUCCCAAAACUUGUCUGAUGGAAUUAGUUUGGUGGAUCAUGUUGUGCAGGCCUGAUCUGGAGGAGAAAAUUGAAGGGAGGGGAAAUAAAUUUGCAGCAUGGUCAUCUAAAAGAAAACUUAGCACUGAAUCCAAGACUGGACAUCCUUUUGAUCAUCUCCACAGAUUUACAACUCAUGCCACCUUCAGUGGCAAAGAUGGUGGCUGGCAUCCCAUAGACUCCAUCUUGGAAGUGCCAUCUUUCCCAUCCACCAUCAUGAAUGACAUUCCAUUGUGAGAGAGGAGCUAAACUUGGAAUAUAGUAAGGUGCAUCAGAAGGGAGCACCUAGACAGAGCUUUUAGCCUUAUUAUCUAUUGUGACUGACCAUGGACUGAUGAUGUUGCCUUCCAGUAAUAAAUGUACCAAGCUAUGC